AUCCAAGUCUGCAAGAAGGUAAUGACGUGGAUUUUGUUGGCUCUGCAUGGAUCGCAGAAAACACGGUUUAAUUUAUAAUCGGUAGCCUCGCGAAGAUUCCAAAUCCGGAAUAAGCGCCUUGAUCACUUCCUUCGGUUCGGAAAAUACAGAGAUCGCCUUGGUGUACGAAAGAUGAACUGAUGCCUUUUCCGCUUCCUGUGAGUCCUAACCUGUGGUGACCCCGGCAUCCGGUUUGGGGCUGCAAAUUCUUAAUCCACCCAGCCUAAAUGGGCAAUGUACAGCACCACCGUGAUGUCCAGCACGGCAACAGCUGCAGGGGCUGCUAGCAAUACGGUAGAAUGUAUUUCAAUACCUCAUCUUCCAAUCUCCGAACGAUUGGCUCUGUGCAGUAUCCUAUUACGUAUGGGUCAAGCAACAGCUUUAGUGAUCCGAUUGCACCUUCCAGCAGACUCCGGCUGUACGACGACAACAGGCCACAGUGCCACCGCCUUUAAAAGCACCGUGGAAAUGCCAGGAGAUAACUUAAGCAGCAUAGUUUUCUUGGAUGUGCAGUUUGGCAAUUGGUACUUUGGUAAGGAUGACACUUUGUAUAGUAGUUUGAUGACAGAUAAGUUCAACGCCAAUAGUCUAUAACAGAACUCGUCAGCAUACUUGCAACCUGCAUUGGAAGUGUAGCCGACUAACCCGGAAGGUGAUUUACAAAGCAAAUCCAGCGAGAUGAACAACCUGCAAUCAAAAUCUAAUCUCAAUACUAGUUUGCAAAGCACGCAGAUUCUGCCCGGGCUGAUCGAUUUCCUUUCGAAUAGCUAUCUCAUCGCAAAAGCUCUACCACGGUUGCUUCCUUAGUUAGCACUGGUGUUUAUUUUAAUUCGAUUAACAGCUCAUCGUUAACACUGGAACAACUGACAAAGACUAAUCCUAUAGUCUGUCCUCUCGGAAUUAAUGCUGGUCCUGGUGAAUACCAGAACGUGUCGUACUCAACAUCAUCGCAGACGAAUGAAAUUUCCUAUCCAUCAUCUUCUGCGCUGCAAGAAUCUAAACUAGGUACUCUAGUUCAAAGGUGUCAACGAACACGUGCCCAACCGCAUCUAAAAAUAUAAUUCGUAUAAUCGAAGUGGAGUCGAUUCUUUCCAGCAGCCUAGCAGUAACGUGUCCAACACUGUUGUUUCCAAUGCUUCGGUUUGACUUCAGCACAUUUUCCAAAAAUGACAAGCCGAAGGCACUGGAUAUUCUGAAUAUUCAAGCUUAUCCAGUUGCUCGGAUACAUUUUUGCCCUACGCUCAAUGUACCGAGAGAAUCAAAGACCAAGAUGUAAAUACGGCUGGUCUGGUGCUAGCCAAGCCAGUUGCUGUGUAUCGGUACUACAAUGGAGGUCAGCGAAACGAUGCAAAGAACCAUAAAAAUUCGCCGGAACUGACGGAAGUUUCAGGAUUGGACUAACCGUAGCCAAUUUCGGUGAAAAUAGAGGGCCGCCGCUGCAUGUUAACAAUUAAGCUGGCCAACAUUAUGGGACACAUGGAUGAGCUUGUUACGACCAAUCUUUAACUGCACAAUUUUCUGUGAUUUCGCCUGCCUGAACUGGAAACUACGAAAGUUGUGUAUCCGCUGUGUCGUCAUCCCGGCAUCAUCGGUGCAGAUUUUUUAGCGAAUUGUACAAAAAAAGUCUUCCUAUCUCAAUUAAUUUACCAGCAUGUAGCUGACUGCUUUAGAAGAGAUAUAUGCUGCUGUUGAGGAUUUCAGAUUUGCUGUUUUAUUCCAAGUAGUGUUUUUAAUUAGAGUUUAGGGAU